GCCAUGCAUGUCUCAGUACAUGCCGUAUUAAGGUGAAACCGCGAAUGGCUCAUUAAAUCAGUUAUGGUUCCUUAGAUCGUACCCACAUUUACUUGGAUAACUGUGGUAAUUCUAGAGCUAAUACAUGCAAACUAGAGUUCCGACCAGAGAUGGAAGGAACGCUUUUAUUAGAUCAAAACCAAUCGGUGGCGGGUUCGCUCGUCCAUCGUUUACCUUGGUGACUCUGAAUAACUUUGUGCUGAUCGCACGGUCUCGUACCGGCGACGCAUCUUUCAAAUGUCUGCCUUAUCAACUGUCGAUGGUAGGUUCUGCGCCUACCAUGGUUGUAACGGGUAACGGGGAAUCAGGGUUCGAUUCCGGAGAGGGAGCCUGAGAAACGGCUACCACAUCCAAGGAAGGCAGCAGGCGCGCAAAUUACCCACUCCCGGCACGGGGAGGUAGUGACGAAAAAUAACGAUACGGGACUCAUCCGAGGCCCCGUAAUCGGAAUGAGUACACUUUAAAUCCUUUAACGAGGAUCAAUUGGAGGGCAAGUCUGGUGCCAGCAGCCGCGGUAAUUCCAGCUCCAAUAGCGUAUAUUAAAGUUGUUGCGGUUAAAAAGCUCGUAGUUGAAUCUGUGUGUCACGAUGUUGGUUCACCGCUCGCGGUGUUUAACUAGCAUGCCGUGAGACGUCCUACCGGUGGGCUUAGCUCCUCACGGGGCGGUCCAACUAAUAUCCCAUCGCGGUGCUCUUCAUUGAGUGUCGAGGUGGGCCGGUACGUUUACUUUGAACAAAUUAGAGUGCUUAAAGCAGGCUAUCUUCGCCUGAAUACUGUGUGCAUGGAAUAAUGGAAUAGGACCUCGGUUCUAUUUUGUUGGUUUUCGGAACCCCGAGGUAAUGAUUAAUAGGGACAGAUGGGGGCAUUCGUAUUGCGACG
rnacentral:rRNA from 1 species